GAUAAACGCUGGCGGCGUGCAUGAGACAUGCAAGUCGAACGGACGAUCGAGGCUUGCUUCGAUCGUUAGUGGCGGACGGCUGAGUAACGCGUAGGUGACCUGCCCCGAAGUGGGGAAUAACUGCCCGAAAGGGUGGCUAAUACCGCAUGUGGUGGUGUGUUCAAUCACACCAGUAAAGCCGCAAGGCGCUUCGGGAGGGGCCUGCGUCCGAUUAGCUCGUUGGUGGGGUAACGGCUCACCAAGGCGACGAUCAGUAGGUGGUCUGAGAGGACGAUCACCCAGACUGGGACUGGGACACGGCCCAGACUCCUACGGGAGGCAGCAGUCGGGAAUUUUGCGCAAUGGACGAAAGUCUGACGCAGCAACGCCGCGUGAGGGAUGACGGCCUCGGUGUAACUAC
rnacentral:rRNA from 1 species